rnacentral:rRNA from 1 species
AUGAACGCUGGCGGCGUGCCUAAUACAUGCAAGUCGAGCGAACGGACGAGAAGCUUGCUUCUCUGAUGUUAGCGGCGGACGGGUGAGUAACACGUGGAUAACCUACCUAUAAGACUGGGAUAACUUCGGGAAACCGGAGCUAAUACCGGAUAAUAUUUUGAACCGCAUGGUUCAAAAGUGAAAGACGGUCUUGCUGUCACUUAUAGAUGGAUCCGCGCUGCAUUAGCUAGUUGGUAAGGUAACGGCUUACCAAGGCAACGAUGCAUAGCCGACCUGAGAGGGUGAUCGGCCACACUGGAACUGAGACACGGUCCAGACUCCUGCGGGAGGCAGCAGUAGGGAAUCUUCCGCAAUGGGCGAAAGCCUGACGGAGCAACGCCGCGUGAGUGAUGAAGGUCUUCGGAUCGGAAAACUCUGUUAUUAGGGAAGAACAUAUGUGUAAGUAACUGUGCACAUAUUGACGGUACCUAAUCAGAAAGCCACGGCUAACUACGUG